CCUACGGGAGGCAGCAGUAGGGAAUCUUUCACAAUGGGCGAAAGCCUGAUGGAGCAACGCCGCGUGCAGGAUGAAGGCCUUCGGGUUGUAAACUGCUUUUAUAAGCGAGAAAUAUGAUGGUAACUUAUGAAUAAGGAUCGGCUAACUACGUGCCAGCAGCCGCGGUCAUACGUAGGAUCCGAGCAUUAUCCGGAGUGACUGGGUGUAAAGAGUUGCGUAGGUGGCAUAAUAAGUAGCUAGUGAAAUCUGGUGGCUCAACCAUUCAGACUAUUAGCUAAACUGUUAAGCUCGAGACCGUUAGGGGUAACUGGAAUGUCUAGUGUAGGAGUGAAAUGCGUAGAUAUUAGAAGGAACACCAAUAGCGUAGGCAGGUUACUGGGACGGUUCUGACACUAAGGCACGAAAGCGUAGGGAGCAAACGGGAUUAGAUACCCCUGUAGUC
rnacentral:rRNA from 1 species